rnacentral:rRNA from 1 species
AUGGCGGACCAGCUCAGCGAGGAGCAGAUUGGCGAGUUCAAGGAGGCCUUCAGCCUCUUCGACAAGGACGGCGAUGGUAGCAUCACCACCAAGGAGCUUGGAACCGUGAUGCGCUCCCUCGGCCAGAACCCUACCGAGGCGGAGCUGCAGGACAUGAUCAACGAGGUGGAUGCGGACGGCAAUGGCACCAUCGACUUCCCAGAGUUCCUGAACCUGAUGGCCCGCAAGAUGAAGGACACCGACUCUGAGGAGGAGCUCAAGGAGGCGUUCCGCGUGUUUGACAAGGACCAGAACGGUUUCAUCUCUGCAGCGGAGCUCCGCCAGGUGAUGACCAACCUCGGGGAGAAGCUGUCGGAGGAGGAGGUGGAGGAGAUGGUCCGCGAGGCCGAUGUGGACGGCGAUGGCCAGAUCAACUACGACGAGUUCGUCAAGGUCAUGAUGGCCAAGAGAAGGGAGAAGAGGAUAGAGGAGAGGAGAGCGCCGUCGGCCAAGAAGAGCGCGGCAGGGGCAUCCGGUGCAAAGAGUGGCAGCAAAUGCAUAAUCCUCUAG